rnacentral:lncRNA from 1 species
AGAAAGGUACCCGUCAUUAUUGGCGCACCUUCAGGAAGCUCUGCUGCGUGGGUGAAGUUCAGUCGACCUUGGCGAACUUGCAUCUUGGGCCUCUUCCCUUUGUUGAGCGUUGCAUUGCUCUGCCCGGGGCGCGGGCUCUGAUUUCUGGGGCAGUCCUUGGUGAAAUGCCCCACAUCGCCGCAGGCAAAGCAGCGGUUACCCGUUGCAGGGCGUGGGGGUGGCGGCAGGGUUGGCCGGGGUGCCUGUGGUUGGAAACCAGGAAAAUGGGGCGCUGCCGCUGGCGGGGGUCGGGCAACCCAUCUUCCUGACUGCUGGGGUCAGCUGGGCGCCUGGGGUGGAACCAUUCUAAAACGCUACGCAGGUGGGCUGGGCGUUGGCAGUGGAGCUUUCCUCUUCCUCUCGGCUGCCAGAGCCUUCAUGCAGUCCUCUUGUGAGAUGGCCAGGUUGACCAACUCAUUGUACGUAUCCACCCUUAUCGGGUUUAACCUUUCUCUGAGCUCCAAGCUUAGCC